rnacentral:rRNA from 1 species
GACGACCGCUUGGCCGCGAGCUUCUUCAUCCCCCUCUCACGAGACCGCUCUGGCUUCUUUCGGGCCCUGUACUGUGGCGGACGGUUGCCUAUCGCCUAUUUCACCUGCCCCUUCGCGCGGGACAAUCACGGGAAACCGUGGCUAUUACCGCUUGUCGUCUGGACCCCGCAGGGUGACCAGAUGAAAGCUUGGGGUUACCCGCGCCCCGUUGGAUGGGUCUGCGUUGGAUUAUCUUGUUGGUGAAGCUCCAGCUCACCACUGCGAUCAUCCAUAGCUGGUCUGAUAAGAAUAUCAUCCACCCUGGGACUGAGACACCGUCCAUACUCCUACUUGAGGCACCUGUGGGGAAUCUUGUGCAAUGGGGUCACCCCUGUUGCAUCCUUGCCACGUGCAUGAAGACUCCCCUAUGGGGCGUAAUCUCAUUUUCUGACCUAAGAAGCUCCUGUAUGUUCAUGGCGCUACCGUACUUCACGAAUACUUCACCGGCUACCUCCGUGCCCGCACUCACGAUAGUACUGAGGGUGCUGUCGUUCUCUGGAAUCACAGGGUGUAAAAGGUGUGCAGGCGGGGCAUCUAGUCCGAUGUGAGAUCCCGUGGCUCAACCAUGGACGUGCUUUCCAAACUGUUGCUCUUGAUUCCCGGACACGCUGUCGGAAUUCUUGGUGUAACCGUGAAAUGCGUAGAUAUCACGAGGAGCACCUGACGCGAUAGCGGGCAGCUGGACGGCUACUGACUCUCACGCGCGACAGCGUGGGGAGCAAACAGGAUUAGAUACCCUGGUAGUCCACGCGGUAAACGAUGAACGCUCGCCGUUGCCCUGCUCAAGGGGCAGUGGCUAAGUUAACGCGUUAAGCGUUCCACGCUGGGGAGUACGAUCGCAAGGUGAAACUCAAAGGAAUUGACGGGGGCCCGCACAAGCGGUGGAGCAUGUGGCUCAAUUCGAUGCAACGCGAAGAACCUUACCUAGGCUCGAACGCUAGAGGACCGCUCCUGAAAGGGAGCUUCCCCUUUGGGGCCUCUAGCGAGGUAGUGCAUGGCUGUCGUCAGCUCGUGUCGUGUGAUGCUGGCUUAAGUCCCGCAACGAGCGUAACCCCUGCUGCUAGUUACCAUGCGGGUAGCGCCGGGGACUCUAGCGAAACUGCGUGCGCAAGCAGUGAGGAAGGUGGGGAUGACGUCAAGUCAUCAUGGUCCUUACGCGUAGGGCCGCACACGUGAUACAAUGGCCGGUACAACGGGUAGCCACCUCGCGAGAGGGAGCGAAUCCCUGAAAACCGGCCCCAGUUCGGAUUGGAGUCUGCAACUCGACUCCAUGAAGCAGGAAUCGGUAGUAAUCGCGGAUCACGCAAUGCCGCGGUGAAUCCGUUCCCGGGCGUUGUACACACCGCCCGUCAAGCCAUGGAAGAUGAGAGCACCCAAAGUCCGUGACUCAACUCGGGCCUUGGGUCGGAGAGAGAGCGGCCGAAGGUGAGUUCAGUGACGGGGGCU